UACGUAGGGGCCUAGCGUUGUCCGGAUUUAUUGGGCGUAAAGAGCUCGUAGGCGGUUCGGUUAGUCAGGUGUGAAAUCUCCACGCUCAACGUGGAGGGGCCACCUGAUACUGCCGUGACUUGAGUCCGGUAGGGGAGUGUGGAAUUCCCGGUGUAGCGGUGAAAUGCGCAGAUAUCGGGAGGAACACCCAUAGCGAAGGCAGCACUCUGGGCCGGUACUGACGCUGAGGAGCGAAAGCGUGGGGAGCAAACAGG
rnacentral:rRNA from 1 species